UCUUUUGAGGCAGACUCAGAUGGAGAAGUGGCAUAAAAAGCAACAGUGGAAACGGGUCAAACAACGACAGAUGAGGAGCCGAUCACUUUCAAACUCACACUCACCCCCAUCUGCCUCGCCCCUCCUCCCAUCUGACAGAUGCCAAACACUGAGCCUCCCUCAUCGCUAUAAAACCUCCUCGCCUCCAUCACUGUCAGGGACACAAACAUCCUGAAGUGACUGGCUGAGGUGGAUGCAGACACUCUGAGGAUACUCGGAGCAGGUGGAGUGUGUCGUUUUCCAGAAGAGCGAUCUGUGUGUGUGUGUGCAGGAACUACAGUGACUCUGCCCUGCCGUUACGACUACACCCCUCAGGUCACACUGUGAGGCGCGUUAUGUGGUCACCACACCGACCCCAACCAGAUCAGCCCUUCCAGCCGCGCUACACCGGGGGAAGCGAUUCGAGCCGUUCGGCUCAGAUUCGGGGUGUGAAGCUGGGCGAUGCGGGCCAGCGUCACUUCAGGUUUGAGACAAACCGACCGCUGGGGAGAUGGACCUCACCUGACACCAUUACUCUGGAUGUAGCAGCUCGACUCUCCUGCCAAUUAAAACAUCAAUGACUCUGGAAGCGGACAGCGAGGUUUCUGGUGCCUGGCUGGAGACCAGAUUCUGAUUAUUCAAGAGCCAAAACAAAAUGUCAGAAUAAAUAGUUAGAAGGCAGCUUUGUUUUCUAUUUGUUAUUGUUUUUAUUAUUAA